rnacentral:rRNA from 1 species
UACGGGGGGGGCAAGCGUUGUUCGGAAUUACUGGGCGUAAAGGGCGCGUAGGCGGUUCGCUAAGUUGGAUGUGAAAACUCUGGGCUCAACCCAGAGCCUGCAUCCAAAACUGGCGGGCUAGAGUUCUGGAGGGGAUAGCGGAAUUCCUGGUGUAGCGGUGAAAUGCGCAGAUAUCAGGAAGAACACCUAUGGCGAAGGCAGCUCUCUGGGACGGUACUGACGCUGAGACGCGAAAGCGUGGGGAGCGAACAGG